CACGUAGGGCGCAAGCGUUGUCCGGAAUUAUUGGGCGUAAAGAGCUCGUAGGCGGUUCGUACAGUCAGACGUGAAAUUCCUGGGCUCAACCUGGGGGCUGCGUUUGAUACGUGCGGACUUGAGUGCGGAAGAGGGUCGUGGAAUUCCCAGUGUAGAGGUGAAAUUCGUAGAUAUUGGGUGGAACACCGGUGGCGAAAGCGGCUCUCUGGCCCGGUUCUGACGCUGAGGCGCGAAAGCGUGGGGAGCAAACAGG
rnacentral:rRNA from 1 species